UAAACUAGCCCACCGACACGCAGCUGGCGAUGGGUUUUCUUAUACCAUCGGAACCGGGCACCUCCAAUAGAUUGUAUAUUUUCGACGAUCUCAUGGGCGGGUAGGUCGCGGUAGCGCCUAAGUCUAAGUAGGACGGGCGUGCCAAGCGGAGCGACCGGGACCAUUUACAUGAAAGGCAGCGCGACCAUUUGUAGCCCAGCGAGCAAUAAAACGUGCGGUGCACUAGCUCCAUCCUCUUCGACUGCCCACCCGAUCCGAACGCGCGCCCGGUCCGAGCGUCGCUGUCCCAGCUACGCGCGAAGACAGCUGCUUUUCCUCUCCGCCCAGCGAGCACCCGAUCCGGGUCACGCCUACCUAGCUCGACGCUCCACUUUUGUGGUGGUUAGGGCACGCAGAAGCUCGUCGGUUAGGUCGGGGCGAGGGGAGGGAGAGGUGCCGCGGCGGCGGAGGAGGGGAAGACGGGACGAGAGGUGGCGCGACGGCGGAGGAGGGAAUACGAGGGGUGGCGCGGCGGAGAAGGAGGGGAAGUGACAAGAGAGGUCGCCGCCGUUUCUAGACCGCCGUUUCCCUCUGCUGCUCCCGCGAACUAGGCUAGACGACUUCUGUUCCUUCCUCUCCUCCCUCUUUCUCUCUCCUUUCUCCUCUCCCUCCACACCACCGCCUACUCUCUCCCAGUGGCCUUCCUCGCACUGCUGGACGUCCGUUUCCCGCCGCCGCCGCGGCGAGCUAAACUAGACGCCCUCUCUCUUCUACUCUCCCCCUCCCUCUCCCUCUCUCUCUUCCUUCCUCUGCUCUCCUCUCUCUUUCUCUCUCCUCUUUCCUCUCCUCCCCCCGCUGCCGCCAGCCCUCUCCUAGUGGCCUUCCUCACGGCGGCCGAGUAGCAGAAAGUAUGGAUGGGUACGUCCCCACAACGUUCCUCAAUCUCCAGCACGCGACCGGCCUCGUCGUCCUCGUUCCUAUACCGGCGGAGAGAAGAGACGGUGCCAAGGGAGGAGAAGGAAGUCGAGAGCUCUACAGCUGGACGUCCAAUUCCGUUUGGUAACAAACUGUUGUUUAUACGCCUCCGCAAAAAUACUUACACGUAAAGUGGACUUAGACCUCUCGAUAAAAUAGACAGCGCCUGUAAAAACCACCUUAAGUUACGAAAUCGUCGAACCCUCGUUCAUCUUUAUGGACUAAACUACGAGUACGAAGGUUAAAAAAGUGUAAAGCGCUCUCGAUCCGCAUGAAGAGCUACUGGAACGGCAGAGGUUGGGUAGGCUAAUAAUACCUAAAAGACUUCCACCACCACCCCCAACGUGCCGUACAAGGCAGACCAAAGUCGGUACCGAGGAAUCUCUCGACCUGUACGAACCAACCUCAGCAGCAGCAGGACCAACCCCUCUACUCGUACGAAUACGAAUAGAUUGUAUAUUUCGGAGGAUCUAUCAAGGCUCCUUCGUGAGUUGGAUCUGCAGCGGGGAUUUAGCGACGACGGUGGCGAACAUUUAAAACACGGGGCGGCUCCCGUAAAAUCAGAAAAGUCGCCCGGUUUUUCCGUCCGUCGCGCCCGUCCUCGCUCUGGCGCGUCUGACGCAGAAGGGGUGCUUGGGAAAGGACAAACUUCUCCACCGGAAAACACACCAUGAGUUGACGAUAGGGUCCUUCCCCUGUAAGGUUUCUAUACUUCCCUAUCGGAAAGCAAUUUUUGGACCAGAAAACAAACUUUCCCAGAUUGAAAAUGACACUUGAUGAAUAGUACUAGAAUAAAACUUCACUACCUAAAAAUGUCUAUAAUCCGUCACGAACUGAAGCCACCGCAGCGGAAGACCGUCCAGUGCCCCAAUCUCGUGUCCUUGGACUGUGCCACAAGGUUUGAGUCCGCCAGUACCAGCUGGUCUACAGCUUCCCGAACCAUCGUUGAGAGUACCUCUUUCUCUUGUUCAAAAGUUCUCUAAGUCACAUUGACCUUUAACAGUCUGAGUGGCCUCCAUAAGUCCUAAUGUUUAAACCGUCUACGACAACGAACGUUUGGGAUCCGGACCAAGGACCUGAACCAGCCGGAGGAGCCCCCUACAUCGACGCGAGGCCACAGCUGAGGAGCUGGUUACUGCGAGGUAGGGUUGGGGUGGUUAGAAGUGGCGACGAACUGCUGUACCUCGACUUGUGGCGACGUUGGUACCACCGCGGGGGAGACUGGUUCCCUAACGCUGCGGUCGUUUCGUUUCCUUCUAGGCGUUGUUUUGACAUACACCUGACGAGGCAAUGAUAAAGACGAUCUUUAAGACUACAUAUACAUAUUUUAGACAAUCAACACGCGGUGUACGGCUGAACUCAUCUAGUCUAGUCAACGGAUUCAUCUACUCAACAGUAUGUGGGUUAUCUAAAAGACGAACGGGUACGGAAAACGGUUGGGCACAUGUUCGAUCGAUGAUCUAGUUGACUAACUAACAAGACCAAGUCGUGUUGUGUGUAGUUCAUUUCCUUGGAGGCAUGGUUUAAGUAUGUCUGACGAGGGAAUAUUAAAGACGAGAUUUAAAGUAGUCCCUAACGCUGAGGCACAAUCCACACACGACGAACAGCAUACAGUCUAGCAACGGAUUCAUCUGAAAAAACUGCUACCUUGUACGUGCAUGCAAACUGGUUAACGAUUAAGGACGACCGGUUACCGGAACCCGCUUUACUUUGUACGUGUAUGAGAACUAAGUUAACAAGGACACGUAGUGUUGUACAGACUUGUGGUCUAAUAAAAAGAGUCACUGAUCCUAAAUAUAUCCAUUUAAAAGAAAAUAAAUAUCAACGUCUAACGUAUAUAAUCCUGAACGGUUGAUCCGUAGGAUUGUGGCCGAUGUUGAACCUGAGCGUUUGAUGUAGUUGUCUGUACAUAUCCUCAAACCUUAUAGGUUGUAAAAGAAGAAAAAUAAAUGAAGUAGGUUAUAGACCCUUGAUUUACACCAAGAUCUAAACUAGGGGGUACACUGAAACUUUAUUUAAAAGUAAUGGAUACGUAGAAGUUAAUCAAAAAUCAAGACAAGAGAUAUGUCAAACGUGUCUUAUUAUACAAUUACAAUCUAUUAAUAAAUAAUAAACGUGAUCGUUAAAAUCAAGAGGGAAGGUGUUAUGUUUGUUAGGUCCUUCCGCUAAACGAAAUCAAAUCCUAAAAAAAUUGUUUCUAAGAAACAGUUUAAUACGUGUAUAGUAUAAGAAGCAAAAUCAACAGAUGACGACGUGACAAUAUAAACCCAAAGUCUAUAAAAGAAAACAUAUAACUAUAGAUUAGGGAUGUUUAAAAUCAGAGAAUGGAAAACAAACGAGACUCCAGUCCACAUCAAAAAGAAAACAUACCGUUUACUUUAUCUAAGGAGUUCUUUGUCCUUUUGCGGUGACUUGAUCUGACUAUACGAGUAUUAUACGAUUAUACUCUAACUAGCUAAAUGUCACUUGAUGUCAUUACCAUCGUUGUUAAUUCAUUCAUUACCCCUGGAGGAUAACAGGACGCUACGGACAACCGUUUGUAUUCGUUCUUGAUGUCCUUACCAUCGUUGUUAAUUCAGGGACCAUGUUACCGCUACACGUUACGAACUUAAGAUGAAAGUAUCAGGCUCUAUGUUACAGAUGACAUCCAUAACGUACAAUAAUGGAGAAGGUUUAAUUCUUCGGUAAACUUAUUUGAACUACCUGGAGCUAAUAAUCUACAAGACAAAACGUCCAAUUAUAUUCCAAAUCUUUGAUUCUGACGACAUUUUUCUUUGUACAAGACUAAGUGAGUCUACGUUUGGGAGGAUUAAGGUAGGGAGUUUGGAGCACAUUGUAUAAAGAUCGCGUAUAUCCACGAAUAAAAGAUACAAAAGAUGUAAAAACCUCAAAGGUAUUUAAAUCAAACACGAUGCCUAUUAUGUACCAUCAUAUAAUUCAAACUUAAGUACUAGUACAAGAGAGCAGACGAUAUAUCUUAAAUCAAACUGGACGUAUUUAGUGAACUUCUCUCCCUAUUUUCCUCUCCCUCUCUCUACGUACAACACUUCCUCGUUCGGGUAGUUAAGAUUUAUACUAGGUACACGACUCUUUAAAGACAAAUUAAGUUAACAUGCCAAUCAUGCAAGUAUGAACUAUAUGUUCGUCAAAACAUGUACUUCUUACGUACACGCCUCUCUCCAAAUGAAUCCCGUCGAGUUUAGGGUAGAACUCGAGAUUAUAGAGAUAAUAAUUAAAACUAAACUAACACAUGCAAGUGUGUCGACGUUCCAAUUAAGUGACUAGACAUGAAGUUUGAACUAACAACUUAACAUGAUUUAAGGUAUGAGCCAGAAGGCCACCGGAGGGACCACACAAAGAGGGGCGUAGUAUAAGGAGGUCGAUGAUUGGGACAAAGGUCGUUCGAGACAACGGCAGUCUUACUCAGUUACUCCAAACAAUUAAACGUCCCUACACUGUAGAUUUAUACAUAAGAACGGUAGCGUCGUUUUUUUAACUCUAUAGAGUAUAUAACCGUUUCGAUUACGGACUCUCCCUCGAUGGUUUGUUCGUACGAAAUAUAAACCCUGCACGUCCGACCUUCCUAGUAACCAUUAACUAGGAUAGUUUCCUUCCACGCUAGAGGUCGGACUUCCUUACCGACCAACUAAGUCGAUAUCCUUCGUUAGGACAAGACGUUAACUAACGACCUUAGCAUAAAUACGUUCUCGUUCUGAUGUGUGCUCCGACAGUUCGUGUGUGUGUGUGUUGCCUUCUUGAGACCUGUAAAGUAGUAGAAGACUGUGACCUUCUCCUACGUGAUUCAAUAUUUCAUUAUUUCAUUUUGUACCUAAAGUGAAUGAACUCUCUUCUAGACCGGUAGUGUAACUGUGACGAUGCAUGGUCUGAUUUCAAGUUGUUUACUAGUAAGUAGUAGAAGACUAGUACCAGAAACGGCAAAUACUACGGUUAAAACCUCUAUGGCAAACAAGUUGAUGUAUGAUUACGUCAUGCGGCGCUACCUUUUGCAAUUCUAAGGUUGUUUUCAAGAAGACCUACGAUAAUACGUUAUCCAACCGGAAGUUCGCGUUCAAUGAGUUGUCUGUUCCGUUCGUGGCAACCAGAACUCAGUUCACAAGUCAAGAUAGGUAGACUCAUGGCCAACUUAUUACCUUUCAUAACUACUGAUGUGAGCCUCGUUCGGAACAGCGCUGCGACGUUCACAACGGGGGGAGGAGGGUUUCCCGUUCCACUUCCUUCCACGGACACACCAAGAAGACGUCGAGCGUCGCUCCUAACAACACAGGUUGGACGUGUUCUUACGGUUCUUCAGGAAGAACUUCUGCUAAUUCCUGUACAUGUUCGUGAUGUUGCUCUCUAGACCCAACGAAGAAACACCGAAGGUUUGAACCUUUACAAACAGACUUUCAAUCAAAUCAAAGAACAAACACCUAAGUGUCGAAGAGUGUACAUGGUAGGAGAAUCUGUAAAUCCAAAGGUUUCUUUAAUUUACUUCUAUACCACCAUACCAGAGUUAUCAUGUUGAAUUUCGGAAAGUACAAAAUAUGAAAGAGACUUUAAACGAGAACUUCUUAGUACAUAGAUACAAUCUAGGCCACUCUUUUCCGCCAAAGGUUCGUCUCCUACGUCCUCACAACCGGUGUGAACCAAAAACUGAACCCACAGAUUUAUAAGAGUGUUAUGAACCG
rnacentral:rRNA from 1 species